UUGUUCGGAAUUACUGGGCGUAAAGUGCCAGUAGGCGGCCAACUAAGUCACACGUGAAAUCCCCAGGCUUAACCUGGGAACUGCGUGUGAUACUGGAUGGCUUGAAUUCGGGAGAGGGAUGCAGAAUUCCAGGUGUAGCGGUGAAAUGUGUAGAUAUCAGGAGGAACACCAAUUGCGAAGGCAGCUCGCUGGAACGUAACUGACGCUGAGACGCGAAAGCGUGGGGAGCAAACAGG
rnacentral:rRNA from 1 species